rnacentral:tmRNA from 1 species
GGGGCUGACCGGUUUUGACAGCAAGGUGAAUGGAUAUGUAAGCAUACCGAGAAUUGUGAAUACGCUCGUUAAUCCUAUUUGCAACAAUUUUAAUUGGCGAAAAUAACUACGCUCUUGCAGCAUAAUCGAAGUAUAGUAGAUUAGCUUUAUCGCGGGCCAAGGGCUCGUGACAAGACGUUCCGCUGGUGGAUCCACCUGAUUCCGGCCAGAUUUCGGAGCGCUCGUAAAUAUCGGGUUAGUCUUAUGAACGUUCCGAUCAUGAGAUGAAAUUUAGGAACUAAGGUAGUAUUUGGGUGCUUUUUUCCGGCAACUACUCGAAAAUCAAUAAAAAGCUAAGUAUGUAGAAAGCUUAUUUGUUCCUUGUUUGGACGAGGGUUCGACUCCCUCCAGCUCCACCA